GGACUGGCGGCUGCUUACCAUGCAAGUCGAACGGAAAGGCCCUUCGGGGUACUCGAGUGGCGAACGGGUGAGUAACACGUGGGUGAUCUGCCCUGCACUCUGGGAUAAGCCUGGGAAACUGGGUCUAAUACCGGAUAGGACCACACACUUCAUGGUGAGUGGUGCAAAGCUUUUGCGGUGUGGGAUGAGCCCGCGGCCUAUCAGCUUGUUGGUGGGGUAAUGGCCCACCAAGGCGACGACGGGUAGCCGGCCUGAGAGGGUGACCGGCCACACUGGGACUGAGAUACGGCCCAGACUCCUACGGGAGGCAGCAGUGGGGAAUAUUGCACAAUGGGCGCAAGCCUGAUGCAGCGACGCCGCGUGAGGGAUGACGGCCUUCGGGUUGUAAACCUCUUUCAGUAGGGACGAAGCGAAAGUGACGGUACCUACAGAAGAAGGACCGGCCAACUACGUGCCAGCAGCCGCGGUAAUACGUAGGGUCCGAGCGUUGUCCGGAAUUACUGGGCGUAAAGAGCUCGUAGGUGGUUUGUCGCGUUGUUCGUGAAAACUCACAGCUUAACUGUGGGCGUGCGGGCGAUACGGGCAGACUAGAGUACUGCAGGGGAGACUGGAAUUCCUGGUGUAGCGGUGGAAUGCGCAGAUAUCAGGAGGAACACCGGUGGCGAAGGCGGGUCUCUGGGCAGUAACUGACGCUGAGGAGCGAAAGCGUGGGUAGCGAACAGGAUUAGAUACCCUGGUAGUCCACGCCGUAAACGGUGGGUACUAGGUGUGGGUUUCCUUCCUUGGGAUCCGUGCCGUAGCUAACGCAUUAAGUACCCCGCCUGGGGAGUACGGUCGCAAGACUAAAACUCAAAGGAAUUGACGGGGGCCCGCACAAGCGGCGGAGCAUGUGGAUUAAUUCGAUGCAACGCGAAGAACCUUACCUGGGUUUGACAUGCACAGGACGUACCUAGAGAUAGGUAUUCCCUUGUGGCCUGUGUGCAGGUGGUGCAUGGCUGUCGUCAGCUCGUGUCGUGAGAUGUUGGGUUAAGUCCCGCAACGAGCGCAACCCUUGUCCUAUGUUGCCAGCGGGUAAUGCCGGGGACUCGUAGGAGACUGCCGGGGUCAACUCGGAGGAAGGUGGGGAUGACGUCAAGUCAUCAUGCCCCUUAUGUCCAGGGCUUCACACAUGCUACAAUGGCCAGUACAGAGGGCUGCGAAGCCGCAAGGUGGAGCGAAUCCCUUAAAGCUGGUCUCAGUUCGGAUUGGGGUCUGCAACUCGACCCCAUGAAGUCGGAGUCGCUAGUAAUCGCAGAUCAGCAACGCUGCGGUGAAUACGUUCCCGGGCCUUGUACACACCGCCCGUCACGUCAUGAAAGUCGGUAACACCCGAAGCCAGUGGCCUAACCUUUUGGAGGGAGCGUCGAAGAGAUCGCGAU
rnacentral:rRNA from 1 species